UUUUAGUAACGGGCGAGUGAAGCGGUAACAGCUCAAAUUUGAAAUCUGGCUCUUGCGGAGUCCGAGUUGUAAUUUGUAGAAGAUGCUUUGGGUUGUGGGUUCGGCCUAAGUUCCUUGGAACAGGACGUCAUAGAGGGUGAGAAUCCCGUAUGUGGCCGAGGCCCGCGCCUAUGUAAAGCUCUUUCAACGAGUCGAGUUGUUUGGGAAUGCAGCUCAAAAUGGGUGGUAAAUUUCAUCUAAAGCUAAAUAUGGGCCAGAGACCGAUAGCGCACAAGUAGAGUGAUCGAAAGAUGAAAAGCACUUUGGAAAGAGAGUUAAACAGUACGUGAAAUUGUUGAAAGGGAAGCGCUUGCAACCAGACUUGGGCGCUGCCGAUCACCUUGAGUUUUCUCGAGUGCACUCGACAGCGCACAGGCCAGCAUCGGUUCGGGUGGCUGGAUAAAGGCCGUAGGAAUGUGGCUCUCUUCGGGGAGUGUUAUAGCCUACGGUGCCAUGCAGCCCAGCCGGACCGAGGACCGCGCCUUCGGGCUAGGAUGCUGGCGUAAUGGUUGUAAGCGACCCGUCUUGAAACACGGACCAAGGAGUCUAACAUCUAUGCGAGUGUUUGGGUGGUAAACCCAUACGCGGAAUGAAAGUGAACGUAGGUGAGAACCCCUUUGGGGCGCAUCAUCGACCGAUCCUGAUGUCUUCGGAUGGAUUUGAGUAAGAGCAUAGCUGUUGGGACCCGAAAGAUGGUGAACUAUGCCUGAAUAGGGUGAAGCCAGAGGAAACUCUGGUGGAGGCUCGCAGCGGUUCUGACGUGCAAAUCGAUCGUCAAAUUUGGGCAUAGGGGCGAAAGACUAAUCGAACCAUCUAGUAGCUGGUUCCUGCCGAAGUUUCCCUCAGGAUAGCAAA
rnacentral:rRNA from 1 species